GACGAACCGUGCGAACGUUGUUCGGAUUCACUGGGCUUAAAGGGCGCGUAGGCGGCUCGCCAAGUCGGGGGUGAAAUCUUUCGGCUCAACCGGAAAACAGCUUCCGAUACUGGCGGGCUCGAGUGGGGUAGGGGCGACUGGAACUUCCGGUGGAGCGGUGAAAUGCGUAGAUAUCGGAAGGAACGCCGGUGGCGAAAGCGAGUCGCUGGACCCCUCCUGACGCUGAGGCGCGAAGGCCAGGGGAGCAAACGGG
rnacentral:rRNA from 1 species